CCUAACAGUUGAAUUGGGAAGCAUUGGUCCAGACAGAUCUCCAACGUCAUAAGAGUUCCCAAGAAAGUGGAUUUGUGGCCUUCAGAAUGAAGUUUGCAAGUAGUUGCAGAAGCGAUAAGGAUCCCUGAGCAAAAUUCUAAGAAAAAGUUCAUGAAAUUCAUCUGGGACUUUUUAUUUAGUCUCAAAUAGAAGUACACAAAAGGUCAUGUUCCAGUGCAGAGCUUACAUCAUGCCUUUACCUUCACAUAUUUCCAAUGUGGAAAAGAAAAGCAUCCAGUCAUUCUCAGAAGAUUACAGGUAUAGUGGAUGUGUUCUUUUACAAGUAUUACAUAAAUAGGGGGAAAAACAGCUACAUGCAUCUUUCAGGAAUGUUCCAUUUUUAAUUGCUUUUCCAUUUUUUUCUAGAUGUGGGUAACUCUCAACGGGAAAUGAAUUGUGGUGACAUUUGUCGCAAUGUUAACUUAAUUAUUCUUCCUGAUCAGGCUUAACAAAAUGAAGACAUGUCCUAUACGGUUUUAUUUUGCUUUGCCAAGAACUGGGUCCUAAUUAUCUGUGCUUGUAAGUAUGAGUCUUUGUUUAUCAGGUUGAGCAACAGCCUUUGAUAGGAGACUGACACUCCCUUCUAUUCUGUCCUGUCCAUCUUGCUGCGCUAGACAAAGUUACUUCCACAUUCUUUGAAAUUCCUGAUUCCCACUGCAUUCAGGGACAUCUGCUGGGAAGCAAAGUUGAAAACGUCAGGAUCUCUUUCAAGUAACUUUAGUGAUGACUUCAGCAGGUGAUCCUUUUUCUUCUAUGGUGAUAAUUUUAUAUCAUUUUCUUGCUUCCAAGAAAGGCUUAGCAAAUUUCCAUCUUGAAAAUUUGUUUCCACCUUGUCCAUACUGAAGACUCACUGACAGAGCUGCAUUUUAACAACAAUAUGCUUUCUUUCUGUAUAUGAAUUAUAUCAUAAAAGCUGCCUUACAGCCAUGUUGAAUGGUGAAUAACUGAGUAAGAGGAAAAAUGUCAACAUUAUAUCAAGAAUACGUAUUGUUUAGAAUGAAGAAAGAAAAGACAAUGCAAUGGCUUCUAGUGGCCCUGAGCCUCUAGGCUACAUAAAUAUUUCUCAUUUAACAGAGGAGAGGAAGCUGUGCUAUGGCUUUGGGUUCGGGCUGCUCGUUUGAGACAAUGUCUGUCCAUCAGCUUUAAGGUAGAAGAGUGAAAGGAAAGAACUGAACUUGCCUCAGUAAAGCUCUGUCUGUGACUAGUUCCAUAUGGGACACCUGCCUCCACUGCAUAUAAGGUGGCCCUGAUUGUAGUCACAGUGAUAAUGUGAGUGGUAAGGACAAGCAGAAUGGUAACAAUGGCAGCCACCAUCGUAACAGGCAGCGGGCCAUAGUGGUUAAGAGUACAGAUUCUAUGGCCAACCUGACUAGGUUUUUAUUGCUGGCUCUGACACUUUCUAGGUAUGUAGCACCAGUCGAAUUACUUACUGCUUUUGUACUUCAGUUGAUUCCUCUGUAAAAUAGGAAAAUAAUAGCAGCUACCUUAUUAGUACCUUGAAUGUUUGGUCCUCAUUCUAUCCAGGGUGACAGUUUGGAGUGGUACCUGGUCCAUACUUCAAGAAGUGUUGUAGGAAUGUUAAAUAAAAUACAUAAGUGUUCCUAGAAUAUGCUGUAUAUUUCCAUUUUUCAGAUGAGAAAACUGAGACUGUGAGGUUAAGGCAUCUUUCUAAGGCAACUGGCCAGCAACAUGCUAGAAACAUUAAAGGAUGUUCAGAAAUAUUUGAGAAUGCAAAAAUUCCAGAGUGUA